ACAGAGGUCCCAAGCGUUGUUCGGAUUUACUGGGCGUAAAGGGUGCGUAGGCGGUUGGGUAAGUUUGACGUGAAAUCUCCGGGCCUAACCCGGAAACUGCGUUGGAUACUAUCCGGCUAGAGGAAUGGAGGGGAGACUGGAAUACUUGGUGUAGCAGUGAAAUGCGUAGAUAUCAAGUGGAACACCAGUGGCGAAGGCGAGUCUCUGGACAUUUCCUGACGCUGGGGUGCGAAAGCCAGGGGAGCGAACGGGA
rnacentral:rRNA from 1 species